rnacentral:rRNA from 1 species
GAUGAACGCUAGCUACAGGCUUAACACAUGCAAGUCGAGGGGCAGCAGGGAUUUAGCUUGCUAAAUUCGCUGGCGACCGGCGCACGGGUGCGUAACGCGUAUCCAACUUUCCCGUUACUCUCGGAUAGCCUUCCGAAAGGGAGAUUAAUACGAGAUGGUGUUUUAAUUUCGCAUGUUAUUAAACUAAGAUUUAUCGGUAACGGAUAGGGAUGCGUGACAUUAGAUAGUUGGCGGGGUAACGGCCCACCAAGUCCACGAUGUCUAGGGGUUCUGAGAGGAAGGUCCCCCACAUUGGUACUGAGACACGGUCCAGACUCCUACGGGAGGCAGCAGUGAGGAAUAUUGGUCAAUGGCCGGAAGGCUGAACCAGCCAAGUAGCGUGAAGGAUGAAGGUUCUAUGGAUUGUAAACUUCUUUUAUACGGGAAUAAAACCUCCCACGUGUGGGAGCUUGUAUGUACCGUAUGAAUAAGCAUCGGCUAACUCCGUG